GACUGUCUCAAGCCCUCCGCCCGCCGUCUUCGGGUGAUUUUUUCCUUUGGUUUUUGAAUUCGUUUUUGGGAUCGAAGGCUUUGAAAUUUUUUUAGGGGAAAUCGAAAUUUGUUCUUAGAUCGGAGGUUUCCAAGCCUUGAUUCCAAAGAUGUCGGUCAUCAGCGAGGCCUUGAUUCUUGGAUCUUGAUCAUCAGCAAGGUAUUUGAAUCCCUAAUCUCUUUUUCUUGUUUAUUUUGAAUUUCUUUCUUUGAUGAUGACAACUAGGUCAUAGAUUGCAGAUUCCAAACCCUAAUUUCUCCCCCUUCUGGAUGUCAUUCAGGUUUCUUUCUUUCCCCUUUCUAAUCUCUGUUUUUUUUUUCCUCAUUAUUAUUUCUAAUCAAAUGCUUUUCUGUUGAAAUUUGAUCGUAGUUAUGAAAUUUAUAAACCCUAAUUUUUUGUUUUUUGAUUUAUUUGGAAUCAAGUGGCGGUGAUGUUGAUAACUACCUAUUUUCUGAUUUUAGGGUUUGAUUUCCAUAAAUCAGACCCUAUGAUUAAAGAAAAUACCAAUGGAUCCUUCUGAGCCUAGAAUUCACUUCUUCAAUCUUAGCAUCUCUGAGGUUUUCUUUUUUUAUUUCUCUAAUAUUUUGAUUUUUUUUUCAAUUAAAAGUUCUUGUUGAUGUGAUGAUCAAUUUCUCAGAAUGAAAACAUGUCGAUCCAAAGAUUCAGACUACAAUUAUCUGAUCAACAAAUUUAUAUAUUUUUUUCUUUGUUUUUUUAUAAAAGAAUAGAAUCGUGUACGAUAAGCCGAUGCUCAGGACCUUGAAGUAAAUUAAAUUUAUUUGAGGGGUGAAAAGAGCAUGGUAUGGUGCACGUAGAUAGAAAUGUAGAAGGGUUCUCAUGUCUGCUCGCUUUGAUGCCUUUGGGCUUUGAUCUUGCGGGCCUGGAUUGCACCCAUAUCUCUCACAAAACAGCAUACUAUAUAGUAAUUGUAAAUCUUGAUUAAUUUAAAGUGUAAUUUGGUAUAAGUUUUUGUUGGUCUUAGUCACAUAAUCAAGUUUGGUUGGGUUAAUAAUGCAAGAAAUAUAAUCUAUAUAGCAUGCAAAUAUUAUAACAAAGACGAGAUUAAAAAUUUAAUUUUAUUAAGCAUAAAAUAUAACAAUAAUUAAGAUAAAACAAUAAUUAAGAUAAAAGUUUGGAAAUUUCUAGCCGGGGUGGGUGUGUAUAAGCAUGGUUCUAAUAUUGAAUUAACCUCUCUUAUGUGGGAUUUCUUGUUACACCUUAAAUGUCUACUAGAUACAUUAAUUCGGGGAAGAAGAACUCUCAUCAUCUAGCAGUUGUGGAAAUAUAUCAAGCACACGCAUUUCGGUUUUCCACGUAUGCAAAAGGGGCAUAUUUAGGAGGAGAAUGUGACUAUAAAAUGUCUGUUUAGUGUUUUUGGUUAGACACAUAUAUGUAGUCUAAAAAUCUUCAAAGAUUUUUUCAAAUAUUCAAUGUGGAACUAAACAUAAGUUUUAGUGUGAAGUCAUUUGAGGAAAUUCACGGGAAUCAAAACAAAUGAUAAACAACUCAAGUUGUAGGCUUUGUAGAACUCACAUCCAACAAUCAUCCAUUAUGUCAUUAUUUUUUUCUGUUA